CAUUACAUAUCUCUUAAGUAAAAGAUAAAUACAUGUACCUAAUUCGUAAUGAGUUAUCUGUAAAUAUUGAAGAUAUUUUAUUUGAUACAGUGAAAGCAUUAGCUGUGCCGAUCAAUAAUUCCGUCGGGAUGCUUGCAUAAAAUACGACAUCAGUAUUGUAACAAGGGAUCUUUAUUCCACAUAAAUAGAAUCUUCCUCGGACUCACUGUUUUGUCAUACCAAUACUCUAACGGGGAACUAUGCAUUUCGUCAUACUUCUAACGUUUUGCCUGUUUAUAUGGAACGUACAAGCAAGUCCGGCGCGAACAGACAAGCAAUGGAUGGAUGAGUGUAGAGAUAUUCUUUUAAACGAUGCUGCAGAAAAGUACAGUCAAAACUACAUGGAAUGCAUGUAUUGGGCAUAUGGAUUUACGAAAAAAGAAGCAAUAGAAUUUGCUAAAGCGGAGAUUGGGAAAAGAUAAUGGAAAGAUUAAAGCCAUUUAGAGGAAACAUGGAUUUCUGGUUAUACUGUUUUUAGCACAACAUCUAUACGCCUUAUCUCCUACACUUGAAAUGAGAAUGACAAUUGAACUGUUGUCGUCAUUCUGUAAUCACUUUUCUUCUGUGGCAUACUAUACUUCGAUUGUAACUUUCAAAUUGCUCAGGAACGUCACUAAUGUCCAUGAUAAAGAGACAUACUGAUUGAUUGAAAACGUGUCGACGUUGUUUUAGAUGAAUCCACACUUGCUCGUAACAACAAAACUGAAUAAAACAUAAUUCCUUUUGCUUUAUCAAACCCAGUCGAAUUUGUUUUUUUUGUCUUUUUUAUUUUGCAUGCCAAUUGUUAUUUAAAAGUACAUCACAUUAAUUAUAGCAUAUUCAAUGCAUUAUUGCAUUUACAACUCUUUGUCUGAUUCGUCUUUUGUUUUUAUACACCAUUACGCAUAAAACAGCUGUUGUGCUUAUACAGUCAUAAAUAUACUCCAAAAAUCUUUA